UCUGUAGCAGUGUCACCAGACCAGACCCUUCCCUCUCCUCUCAGCGAAGGGGCGGGCCCAGACUACCUGCCUGUGAAUAUCGUAGAUAAUAGAUAUCGACACCCACUCAUCAGGGUGGGGCUGGAGUGAUGAAUGCGCAUGCGUACAAAAACAUCCACGUGUCAGCACGUGACAAACUGACACUGAGAGACUGAGAGGCGGAGGUGAAACAGGAGCUAGAUGGAGAGUGAGAGAAAAGGAGCCUAUUAUUAUUAUUGAUACUUGCUUGGCCCUCUCCAUUUGUUACUAUGGCAACACUGAAUACACACACAAGCUCCAGAUGGUCACUUAAGAGUGGACAAGUAAAGUGAAUGUAACAUACAAAAAGCACCUUUAUGGCUUCAUUACAGUUUGGACUACAAUGACAAAACUCAUAGUUUGGUUCAAACCUAGAUGUGAUAUAGUACUAAUGACUGGUUUUAAUGUCAUUGAAACUGUUAAUUUCCCUAGUUGUGCUAUUACACUGGCUCACAAGUUUAAUGACUUCACUUUCAUGACCCAUUAGGCUAUUCCCUGGUUGCCUUCAGGUUCUUUAGAAAAGCUUUUCAAAUAAAAACUGUGGAUUACCUGCCAUUAAGGGAGUUACCCAAAUCUGGUGUCAGUAGGUCACUAUUUUACUUUUCAGCUGAUGAGAGUUUAUCAUUAAAAUAGUUCAAAAGAAAGAAGUAUUUUACAGAAACUGCUACUAAAUCUCAUGCAAAACAAGAAAACACCGUUACCCAAGUUCUUUGGCCUCUAUCAAUUUAAAGUUGUGGUGGUGACUGUGGUGUUAAAAUUACUUGAUUUUAGAAUACAUUUGGCUGAUGGUCUGUGGUUGCAUCCUGAUAAAUGUAAAUUCAACGUUAGUAACUUAGUUCACAAUUGUCAGGUACUAGAGUCUUUUGGUAUGAUGGGCUACAGCUUGUUAUACUAGGAGUAUACAAUGUGGAUGAGGCCAUUAGAGCAAGUGAACCACCUCCCACUUCAUGGGCUCUCACCACAGAAACAGUGGGUGAACCAGCAACAGCUGUUGAUUGAGACUCUACAGGAGAGAGGCAGACGAGUAAGAAGGAUUGGAAACAUUUUUACAAUCAAGGAUUGAAGCUAGAAUAUUUUAAUAUAUUUAAUCCUGAGACCUUAACCAGCGAUACUAACCUACAGGACUUCUCCACACCUGGAUACCAUAUGUGAAAGGGAGAAACUACAUGUACCUUAUAAUAAAUUACAUUUUCUGAUACAUAUUGAUGUGCUUAUGCUGUGUAGAAAGUUUGAGCUGAUUUUGACUGUAGUCUUUCAAGUUACAGCCAUUUUAAAGAAGAUGCAAUUAAUGAGCCUUGUUUUCUGUAGAAUUGGAUUUCAAAUGAAAAUAAAUGUCAUUGAUGUACAAAUAAAUUUACACACAGUUUCUCGUUCAUGUAAUGUAUAGCUGAGUCCUUGACAAAGGAACACCCGUUUCUUGAAGAACUCUAUCACCAAUAAAAACUCUCAUUAUUGACACACACAGCAAACAAAGAGCUGAAUGAAUCACUGGUCAAAGAAAAGAAGGUUGUUAUAAUCUGACACUAGAUCUAUAGGCUGAAAUUAUAUUAAGGUUAUUUUUGUGAAUACCGGUGCAAGAACACUCUUAUAUUAGUCAUCCAUAAAUUGUAAAUAAUCCUAGCAGACUAUAAACUGUCUUACUGCACCAGCUCAAGUUGGCAAUUGGCAGGUAUACUCAGAGAGCUAUGUUGUUCUUGCUAAUAUUGAGCACACAGGACUGAUCACACAUGGGAGAUACAGCCGGGAAGAAAACCUUAUUAGGUUGUUAUUAUCUGCUACUAAUCCUUAAUCAUUUUUAAUGUCAUUUUGUGAAUGCUGAUUUAAGAAGACUCUCAAUGGAUAUAAAUUGUAAAUCUUUGAGUUGUCAUUACCAGCUCAAGUCCAGUGGUCAUUGGCAGGUAUUAUCGUAUACUUGUUGUUACUAAUGUUGAGCACACCAUUCUAUAUAUAGGACUGAUCAUACACAUAGGGGAAAAUACAGUCUGGAAGAACCUCAAUAGGUACACAUGCACUAGCAUUAUGAUAGGCAUGAAAAUAUUUUGUUUGAAUUUAAAACUUUUUACUAUUGAUAUAACGUA
rnacentral:lncRNA from 1 species